AUUUUUGUUAUUACUACAUUAUUAUAAAAUACGUCUUGUAUAACUCAGGAAUCUAACAACUGUUUAUUAAAAACAUUUCCUGUUUGUUAACAGGUAGUCUUUGCUCAAUGAUAGUUUAAAUGGCUGCAGUAUUCUGACUGUACGAAGGUAGCAUAAUUACUUGUCUAAUUAUUUUAGAAUUGUUUGAAUAAGUUAAUGUUUGGAUUUUGUAUUAUUAGGUGAUAGUUUAAUUUAAAUUUUCUGUAAAGAUGCAGUUUAUAUUUUAAAGACUAAAAGACCCUACAGAGCUUGUUAGUAUUAUAAAUAAUUAUUUUAGAUGGGGUAUCUUCUCUUUAGUUAAGAGUGUGUUUGUUAUAAAGCUUCCUUAGGGAUAACAGGGAGAUAUCUUUUGGGAGCUCGUAUCUAAAAAGUUUGUUUCUACCUCGAUGUUGAAUUAUGGUUUAGCUAAGGAGUAGGUGCUUUGUGUUGCUUAAGUCUGUUCGACUUUUAAUACCAUUCGUGAUUUGAGUUUAGACCGAUG
rnacentral:rRNA from 1 species